UGAAGAGUCUGCAAUUUGGUGCAAUUCCAUACAACUGUCGGGUGAUUUCGCUCUGAACUUGUGACACUCUGAUUGGUCUGAAAUAAAUCAUUAUCCCGCCCCUCUGGGAAAAAUUUGCAGCCAGAUUGCACCAUUGCCUGUUACUGUCUGAGAGAUGGCAAUGUCAGGGGUUCAUGACGGUGGUUAAACCUAUUGCGAAUGGGCAGCACAAUUGGGUGUAGGAUACUCCGAAACCAUUGCACACUCCUGAAUCUGCGGUGGGUUGGUACCCCACGUUACGUAAGGAGUAGGUUUCUUGGUAAGACUUGGUCCACGUGAAUGGGUCGUGCCUUAAAAAUGAUGAGAAGUUGCGAAUUGACGCCCUGUGAAGUGUCCUUCGACCAACUAGUGCUAAUCCGGUCACUGUCUCCAGGUCACCAUGCCUCGGUCAAUGAGCGGGCGAAGCACCCAAUGGCUCCGUCAGGAGUACAUCGUCAACUUCAGCCCGUAGUCAAACCGGUACACGCACAAAUAUCUUAGUUGAGAGUGGGGGACAUCAGUAAAGUGCUUCUCAUCGGGGUAAUACAGUACCACUGUAUACAAUGACCCCAUUUUUUGUUGGAUUCAUUUCCACUGAGGAGUGGUCGAUAAUGAGAAUUUCAGGCCAGUCUGAUUAUCACCAGUACAGAGGGCAAUUAUCUAAUAGUUAUGUGGCUUUCCCUCAAACUGUAUACUCUUUCAUGUCAGUUGUAAGUUCGUGUUGCUUGGUAGUGUUCAGGGUCUUUUUGUCGAACAGGCACAUCUGCAUACCAGUAAUUAUGUGCAAACAUCAUUUUUGCUUUGAAGCAAUAUCGUUGCUACACUCCUAAAGCAUUGGCUGCCUUCAGGUCUUUUCUGUGUCGCGGGCAAAUCUGCAUACCAGUGAUUAUAUGUAUAAUUAAGUUUUGCUUUGAAGCAAUAUCAGUGCUACACUUGUGAAGCAGUGGCAGUGUUCAGGUCUUGUCUGCCUCGCUGACAUAUCUGCAUACCAGUAAUUAUGUGCAGACUUGGCUCUUUCUUUGGAGCAGUACAGUUGUAAGAAAAAAUCCUGUUUGUAAUUUUAUAAAUUAGUUGCUCAUUAAGGGCUUACGAAGGUCUUGUCUGCCUCGCUGACAUAUCUGCAUACCAGUAAUUAUGUGCAGACUUGGCUCUUUCUUUGGAGCAGUACAGUUGUAAGAUAAAUCCUGUUUGUAAUUUUAUAAAUUAGUUGCUCAUUAAGGGCUUACGAAGGUUUUGAUGCCUUGCUGGCAUAUCUGCAUACCAGUAAAUAUGUGCAGAUUCAUAUCUUGCUUUGAAGCAAUAUUGUUGCUACACUCCUAAAGCGGUGGCAAUGUUCAGGUCUUUUCUGCCUCGCUGGCAAAUCUGCAUACCAGUAAUUAUGUGCAGACUUGGCUCUUCCUGAGAUUGUAGGACUGGGCCCAUUGAAUGUAACAAAAAUAAUCGAUGCCUAUUUACAAAUGAAAUGAAGAGUCUGCAUUUUGGUGCAACUCCAUACAACUGUCGGGUGAUUUCACUCUGAACUUGUGACACUCUGAUUGGUCUGAAAUAAAUCAUUGUCCCGCCCCUCUGGGAAAAAUUUGCAGCCAGAUUGCACCAUUGCCUGUUACUGUCUGAGAGAUGGCAAUGUCAGGGGUUCAUGACGGUGGUUAAACCUAUUGCGAAUGGGCAGCACAAUUGGGUGUAGGAUACUCCGAAACCAUUGCACACUCCUGAAUCUGCGGUGGGUUGGUACCCCACGUUACGUAAGGAGUAGGUUUCUUGGUAAGACUUGGUCCACGUGAAUGGGUCGUGCCUUAAAAAUGAUGAGAAGUUGCGAAUUGACGCCCUGUGAAGUGUCCUUCGACCAACUAGUGCUAAUCCGGUCACUGUCUCCAGGUCACCAUGCCUCGGUCAAUGAGCGGGCGAAGCACCCAAUGGCUCCGUCAGGAGUACAUCGUCAACUUCAGCCCGUAGUCAAACCGGUACACGCACAAAUAUCUUAGUUGAGAGUGGGGGACAUCAGUAAAGUGCUUCUCAUCGGGGUAAUACAGUACCACUGUAUACAAUGACCCCAUUUUUUGUUGGAUUCAUUUCCACUGAGGAGUGGUCGAUAAUGAGAAUUUCAGGCCAGUCUGAUUAUCACCAGUACAGAGGGCAAUUAUCUAAUAGUUAUGUGGCUUUCCCUCAAACUGUAUACUCUUUCAUGUCAGUUGUAAGUUCGUGUUGCUUGGUAGUGUUCAGGGUCUUUUUGUCGAACAGGCACAUCUGCAUACCAGUAAUUAUGUGCAAACAUCAUUUUUGCUUUGAAGCAAUAUCGUUGCUACACUCCUAAAGCAUUGGCUGCCUUCAGGUCUUUUCUGUGUCGCGGGCAAAUCUGCAUACCAGUGAUUAUAUGUAUAAUUAAGUUUUGCUUUGAAGCAAUAUCAGUGCUACACUUGUGAAGCAGUGGCAGUGUUCAGGUCUUGUCUGCCUCGCUGACAUAUCUGCAUACCAGUAAUUAUGUGCAGACUUGGCUCUUUCUUUGGAGCAGUACAGUUGUAAGAAAAAAUCCUGUUUGUAAUUUUAUAAAUUAGUUGCUCAUUAAGGGCUUACGAAGGUCUUGUCUGCCUCGCUGACAUAUCUGCAUACCAGUAAUUAUGUGCAGACUUGGCUCUUUCUUUUGAGCAGUACAGUUGUAAGAAAAAAUCCUGUUUGUAAUUUUAUAAAUUAGUUGCUCAUUAAGGGCUUACGAAGGUUUUGAUGCCUUGGUGGCAUAUCUGCAUACCAGUAAAUAUGUGCAGAUUCAUUUCUUGCUUUGAAGCAAUAUUGUUGCUACACUCCUAAAGCGGUGGCAAUGUUCAGGUCUUUUCUGCCUCGCUGGCAAAUCUGCAUACCAGUUAUUAUGUGCAGACUUGGCUCUUCCUGAGAUUGUAGUACUUGGCCCAUUGAAUGUAACAAAAAUAAUCGAUGCCUAUUUACAAAUGAAAUGAAGAGUCUGCAUUUUGGUGCAACUCCAUAUAACUGUCGGGUGAUUUCGCUCUGAACUUGUGACACUCUGAUCGGUCUGAAAUAAAUCAUUAUCCCGCCCCUCUGGGAAAAAUUUGCAGCCAGAUUGCACCAUUGCCUGUUACUGUCUGAGAGAUGGCAAUGUCAGGGGUUCAUGACGGUGGUUAAACCUAUUGCGAAUGGGCAGCACAAUUGGGUGUAGGAUAUUCCGAAACCAUUGCACACUCCUGAAGCUGCGGUGGGUUGGUACCCCACGCUACGUAAGGAGUAGGUUUCUGGGUAAGACUUGGUCCACGUGAAUGGGUCGUGCCUUAAAAAUGAUGAGAAGUUGCGAAUUGACGCCCUGUGAAGUGUCCUUCGACCAACUAGUGCUAAUCCGGUCACUGUCUCCAGGUCACCAUGCCUCGGUCAAUGAGCGGGCGAAGCACCCAAUGGCUCCGUCAGGAGUACAUCGUCAACUUCAGCCCGUAGUCAAACCGGUACACGCACAAAUAUCUUAGUUGAGAGUGGGGGACAUCAGUAAAGUGCUUCUCAUCGGGGUAAUACAGUACCACUGUAUACAAUGACCCCAUUUUUUGUUGGAUUCAUUUCCACUGAGGAGUGGUCGAUAAUGAGAAUUUCAGGCCAGUCUGAUUAUCACCAGUACAGAGGGCAAUUAU